UUGCUCCUUGAUUCAUGGGCGGACGGGUGAGUAAUGCCUAGGAAUCUGCCUGGUAGUGGGGGACAACGUUUCGAAAGGAACGCUAAUACCGCAUACGUCCUACGGGAGAAAGCAGGGGACCUUCGGGCCUUGCGCUAUCAGAUGAGCCUAGGUCGGAUUAGCUAGUUGGUGGGGUAAUGGCUCACCAAGGCGACGAUCCGUAACUGGUCUGAGAGGAUGAUCAGUCACACUGGAACUGAGACACGGGCCAGACUCCUACGGGAGGCAGCAGUGGGGAAUAUUGGACAAUGGGCGAAAGCCUGAUCCAGCCAUGCCGCGUGUGUGAAGAAGGUCUUCGGAUUGUAAAGCACUUUAAGUUGGGAGGAAGGGCAGUAAGCUAAUACCUUGCUGUUUUGACGUUACCGACAGAAUAAGCACCGGCUAACUCUGUGCCAGCAGCCGCGGUAAUACAAAGGGUGCAAGCGUUAAUCGGAAUUACUGGGCGUAAAGCGCGCGUACGUGGUUUGUUAAGUUGGAUGUGAAAGCCCCGGGCUCAACCUGGGAACUGCAUCCAAAACUGGCAAGCUAGAGUACGGUAGAGGGUGGUGGAAUUUCCUGUGUAGCGGUGAAAUGCGUACAUAUAGGAAGGAACACCAGUGGCGAAGGCGACCACCUGGACUGAUACUGACACUGACGUGCGAAAGCGUGGGGAGCAAACAGGAUUAGAUACCCUGGUAGUCCACGCCGUAACGAUGUCAACUAGCCGUUGGAAUCCUUGAGAUU
rnacentral:rRNA from 1 species